rnacentral:lncRNA from 1 species
UGUGCAAUAUAGAAAUGUCUUCUACUAAAUAGCAAUAUUUAUUUCAUUUCAUUUAAUAUUUAUUUUAAAUAUUUGAAAAGAAGAUUUAUUAUUACCUAGCAAAUUAAUAGUUACUAUCACUGUAAUGGUGCCUUGCUAAACAUUAUUUCAUUUUUUUCAAUAAUGAAAUAAUAUUAAUAAUUUUGUUUCAUCAAUUAUUAUUCCGUCAUCUCAUUAUUCAUGAUUCCUUGCUUCCUUAUGAUGGAAAAAUCAACUCAAACUUGUUUAAGCAAUAAUGGGAUAUGGUGGCUUUUGAAGGCUUAAGAUUUCAUGUUCAGUUUGGCAUUUUCAUUUGAGUUAAAGCCAAAGCUCAAAUAGCAAUUGAAUCUCUCUCUACAUCUCCCAGUUCAUGCUUCCUCUCAGUGGAUUCACUGUCAUGUAAGCCUCCCUACUCAACAGCCUUCAGCAACUUGAAAUACAUAUUACUUUUAUAGUUAACUGUUCCAAAGGAAAUAAAGAUUUUCUGUCCCAGUGAUUCCCACCAAAUUCUUUCAUUAAGCCUCUUUCAUCUGACUUGGGCUAGGCAAUUAUUCUCUAACCAAUAAAAGAAACCAGAGGCUGAUACAAUCUCUAAAUGUCUGUGAUCAACCAAGAAAGAUUUAUUUACCCACUUUUGCAGAUAUGGGUGGGGUCAACCUUAGUCAACUUUCUUGAGUCACAAGUGAUAUUAGCUUGUAAUGUUAGCUGAAUUUAGGAAUUAGAUGUUCAGCAUUAAUAUACACUAUGGCAUCUAUAUCAUUGAAUGUAUGAAAUAUUUCAUAAGUAACAAAGGAAUGGAUGUACUAUAGUACCAUGAAAGAAACUUUAGAUUACCAGAAGAAAUAUGAAUGCCUGUUUGAUAGUUCACUAAAACGAUGAUAAAUAUUUUCACCUAACCACCUAAAUGAUUUUUAUGGGUACCAGGACUUUGUGGCAAGGGGUAAGUGGUGUCCCAGGUUUUCUGGCCUGUUUUUGCCAGCUCAUUUCCUGGAUUCAGGGUCUUCUUUCUUCCCACAUUUUUCAACUCCAGUGAACUUCUCUGAUCAUCAUGUUUUACAUCUUUCUUUCUAACAUUCCAACCCUAAACAUUAAAAUUGCUGAAAUUAGAAAUGGGUGAAUGAUCACCCAAUAAAUAUUCAAGAUAAAGGCAUAAAUGAAGUGGUGAAAAAAUUUAGAUUUGAUUAUUAGAGAGAUAUUAAACAGACAUUCUGAGAGCAGCCAUGGCUAGAAGCACCGCCUCAGGUAUUGAGUGGUUUGGGAAUAAAGUAAAAAAUAGUACCUUCGUUUGACAGAUUUUUUCAUCAGAUUUCCAUGCUAUUUUCUUUGCAAACAUUAUAUGAUUCCAUUAUUUAUCCAUUAUAUCAAUAGAUCACCUUAAACACAUUUUGAAAAGCCCUCUCCCCACUUGGGAAAAUAAGUUUUAAUGUAGCAGAGACUGCCUUCUCUCCCUAGUCUCAGUGUUCCCCAAAAUAACUUUUUUAACACUAAUUUUUUCCCAUCUUUAAAAACUUUAGAACAGACCUUAAAAUUUGCAGAUGCCAGAUUUCAUUCUUAUAUUUAGUGUGUAUAAUGUCUACCUCAUAAAAAACUGAGUUAAAUUCUCGAGCUUGGCAAAACACCAGGAUUAUUUCCUUUCUCUAGAAUUGAAAGCAAAUAGUUUGGACAAGUGACCAUUAUUUUGAUCAAUUUCUUGACCACCAUAUGUGCUUAUAUUUUUAAAGGGCCAUAGAUUGAUAAUUUUCUCUUAUUGAUAAUUUUCAUGUUUAGAUAUAUCACAGCAAUAUUCUACAUUAGAAGUUAGCUGACAAAACCUUUCUUCCCAGUGAAGAAAGGAUAUGUGUAGAUUGAAAAGUGUUUAAAUGGAAUUUUUAUUUUUUAUCCUCGUAAUAAUGCUUCUAUUUCAUUUUGUUCUCAUAGCUCCUAAACAGAGAGAGAAACAACUCUAUUUUGAUUUAGUUAAUUCUAUGGGAUUGAUUUGUUCAAGAUUUCUCCCGAAAUCUGCUUCAUAAGGCAGUAAUCAAAGGCAGGGGCCCUUAAAGCGCUGGCAUUAAGUGUUUUCCAUUUUGAUUCAUUGUUUUGUUUCCAUCUUGCACUCUGUACUGACCACUGUUAAAGGAUAGAGGAAAUAAUCUAAGUGGUAAUCUCACUGAAUGGGCCAUCCUCAAAGCUGAUUUACAGGGAUCUCAAGGUUCUUUUGAUCAGAGAAAAGUCUCUGAAUGGUUCAUGAUAUCAACAAGACGAAGCAACAUAGGUAUUAACUCUUCAUAUUUUAAACAAAAUCAGUUAGGGAGAUACCACGUAUGCAUUCCUAUGUAUUCCUGAACACAUAAUUCAGCUUUGCAGACAAUGAGAAUUCAACCAUCACUGAGCUCCUCCUAGGAUAUUUUCAAAAAGUGGCCUUUAUGGACCCUUUGGAUUUUUAUAGUCAGUCUGUCUCUGAAUUCUGGGCUCACUUCACAUGUCAAUUCCAAGAAUGGAACAUAUUCUUACAAUCUGGUUGGGUUACUUUUCUGUUCUUUUUCGUGUUCCAUGUGAUCUGCACGUGCUUUUGAAAUUUAGGUUUUAAUGAAAUUCAAUUAAAAAAAAAUUUUACGUUGUAUAGCAAUAGAUUUCCCUUCUAUGAAUCUUUUCCCACAUCUUCUAUAUCACAAGCAGGGUAUUAUUGAUAAAAUGUAUUUUAAACUGUGGAAUUAUAUAUAUAUAUAUACACACACACAUACACAUCUAUACAUAUAGAUGGAUAGAUAUAAUUAAGAUAUAGAUAUAUGCUUAAUAAUUUAAUACUUGCCUCAAAUCAAUGAUGAUAAAUGCUAAUAAAGAUAAACUGAGGACUCCAUAUAUUUUUAAGCAAUACUAAUAAUAUGGUAGUAUUUACAUCUAUAUGUUUAUAUUAUUGGUAAUUAAUUUAGUAACAAAUGCCAUUUGAAUCUGGAAUUUAAGUACCUUUCUCUUAAGAUUCAGGUACUGAAUUAAAUUAUUUACAAAUUUCUUAGGACAAUUUUUAUAUUUUACUUGCAUGGUUUCAGCACAAAUUAUUUUCAAUGGUAAAUAAAGAUAUUUCCUAUAUCACUGUCACUUUACAAUAAUAAUAAUAAGAUAAAGAAUAAUAAAAAUAUUAUGUCAACAUUUUUAUUGUCAGUAGCUCUUGGUGUUUUAAUAGUCUGACUAUUGAAAUUAAUUUUUAAAUGACACUUAUAAAGUAUCCCAGGUGUCUACCUUGUUCAUUGGUAUCAUAUUUAAUUUAUUAAAAGCUCUCAGAAUUGAAAGAAAAAUGAAUUAUUCCAGUGUUCUAGACAUAAUCAUGUGUUAUGACUAUGAAUUGAGUGUAUCUAUAAAUCUCAUUACCAACACCUUUCUUUUAAAGACAUUAUGUAAAUAUUUAACCCUUCUGUUCUUCAUGGCAAUGGUAAAAGUAGGGGGCAUACCUGAUCAUCACUAGGAAUUAGGCAAAAUUUAGUUUUGGCCCCAUUUUUUAAUGGGGAGUUUCAGGUUCAGGACAAGUCAGAUGCCUUCCAAACAAGCAGCGCAAUGUCCAACAUUGUCUCUCCCCCCAAAAUUAAAUAGUAACUUAUGUUCACUCUUCGAGUUACUUAUUUCUCCCAUAUCAAGGUACAAGAGAUGAGAAACUAGUCUUUGUAAAGGGAAAGCCAAGUCCAGACACUCUGUUCAUUCUUCCUCUACUAUUCAUCACAUAACUGUCAUCAGAAAAUUGUCAGUUGAUGUACCUCAUCUCCUUCAUUAGAAAAAAAAAAUUUCAUAUCUGAUUUUUAUUUUCAUUCUUUAUCACUUUAAAAUAAAAAAAAUAGGUCCAUUGGGCAGAAGCCAAGGAGGGGUGGGUGGGAAAUAAUAGAGAAAUACAGACCUAAGGAUAAAAAUGCUUUAGAAACAUAAUUACUCAAACAUACACAUGGAGGAACACACCCACACACUCUCUAAGGAAAGUUUCCAAGUGGCUUUGAGCAUAUAGCAUGCUCUAAAUAUUCCUACUAACCAUACUGCUUUCUACAUCUAAAAAACAAAUGCAUAAGAGUAAUAAAAGUAAUUUAUGAAAAAGUAUAAAGUCAUUAUACUAGUAAUGAAAGUUCAAUUACAAUGUAAAGUCUAAUAAGAAUUUAAGAUUAUUAAUUCUAAAAUUUAAUUCUGAUUCCAGAGGCUCAAGUAGUCACCUUGGGUAACUAGAAAAUUAUAUCUUAUUUUUAUUCUUUUCCUUUUGUUAAAAAGCUGUUUUAGGCAUGUGGGAGAAAAUAUUGAUUCGGUUUCCAGAGUAACACAGAAACUCAAGGGAGCUUUAUAGACCUCUAAGAUCUUGGUAGGAUUUUAAGUUAGCCUAUAACUUAUAGAAAUUUUGUCUAGAAUUUAUUCUAUAAAAUUAUAUACUCUUUAUCCCUAUAAUCUCCUUUCAAUCUUUCAAUAAAAAAGAACUUAACCAAUCUUAGGUCCAAACUUAUCUGAAUUUCCCUAUGUAUUUCUGCUACUUAAUUUUAACUUCACCGUAGGAAAAAAUACAUUGUACCAAAUGCACAAUUAUCUCAAGAUAUUAUUUUAAGAGUGAAUCUUAAUUUUAAAUAUCUUUAGAAUUAUAUCCAAUAUUUAUUUUGCCUAUUCUAAGAAUACAAAUACAUUGGUGAGAUAGAAUAGUACUCAUGUUAAAAAAAACCCUGACAAUUACCAAUAUGUUUGUUUUUUUCCCAGUCAGCUAACAUUUCAAUAUUCAUUUGAUGGUUAGUGAUAGGAAAUGUCAUUCCCAUGUAGCAGUCAGCUACAGAGGUUGCCCUUGUUCUCUAUAUCCUGUCCCUGUGACAACAAAAUACCAAGAUUCUCUCAGGUCUCAGUCUGGAAAUCUGUCACUAAUUGUUUCAGCAGCCCAUUCCACCAGUAAGGCAUUAUUUUGACGGUUUCUCAUUCUGGUUCAUUUCAAUUCAAGCUCAUUAGCUUUAUAUGUUCCCAAAUGUUUCAAAAUCUUUAGUCAGUGACAUCUGUCCAAGUCAGGGCUCU